rnacentral:rRNA from 1 species
GAUGAACGCUGACAGAAUGCUUAACACAUGCAAGUCAACUUGAAUUUGGGUUUUUAACUUAGGUUUGGGUGGCGGACGGGUGAGUAACGCGUAAAGAACUUGCCUCACAGCUAGGGACAACAUUUGGAAACGAAUGCUAAUACCUAAUAUUAUGAUAAUAGGGCAUCCUAUAAUUAUGAAAGCUAUAAGCGCUGUGAGAGAGCUUUGCGUCCCAUUAGCUAGUUGGAGAGGUAACGGCUCACCAAGGCGAUGAUGGGUAGCCGGCCUGAGAGGGUGAUCGGCCACAAGGGGACUGAGACACGGCCCUUACUCCUACGGGAGGCAGCAGUGGGGAAUAUUGGACAAGGGACCAAGAGUCUGAUCCAGCAAUUCUGUGUGCACGAUGAAGUUUUUCGGAAUGUAAAGUGCUCUCAGUUGGGAAGAAAGAAAUGACGGUACCAACAGAAGAAGAGACGGCUAAAUACGUG